CUCUCCCUCUCUCUCUCUCUCUCUCUCUCUCUCUCUCUCUCUCUCUCUCUCCCUCCCUCCCUCCGUCUCCCCAAUAACUAGACCUGAUCAAAAGCUAAAUAUGACAUCACUAUACUUUAUCAAUGAACAGAACAGAUCAAUAACUAAACUUGACAUCACCAGACCUGAUCAACAGCUGGACCUGAUCAAUAAUUGAACAUGACAACACUAGACCUGAUCAAUAGCUGGACCUGAUCAAUCGCUGGACCUGAUCAUUAGCUAGACCUGUUAAAUAGCUGGACCUGAUCAAUAAUUGAAUAUGACAUCACUACACCUGAUCAAUAGCUGGACCUGAGAGAGAGAGAGAGAGAGAGAGAGAGAGAGAGAGAGAGAGAGAGAGAGAGAGAGAGAGAGAGAGAGAGAGAGAGAGAGAGAGAGAGAGAGAGAGAGAGAGAGAGAGAGAGAGAGGUGUCAGAAAGAGAUAGAACCCCAAAGGGAUUAUGAAGAGAGUGAUAGAGGGUGUGUGUGUGUUGGUGUUUGUGUGUGUGUGUUUGGAUUCAUACCUUUCGUUCACUAUAAUCCUAAAAUAACACACAGAACACAUCCACAAUGUCAUUGGUAGCGCUUGAAAACUGCAUUUAUUGAAAACAAAUGGUUAGCAUUCAAUCAAUGGUGGUAUUGAUCUUCUUCAUGUGAAGCCAGCUCUCUGAGGCAGAUGCUAUGCUAUUGAUCAGUGCUAGCUUGAAUUCCCAGUAAAGGAGUGUUGCUGACGUCCUGUUUCUGCAUUGAUGAGCCACGCAGCACAUGGAGGCUAGGCUACCAUGGAUAUGUUAGCAGCACGCUUACAAGCACUUGUUUCAGAGUAGAGGAAUGCUGGAGGACUGCACGUCAUUGAAACUACAGUGUACUACAGUUUACCACAGUAAACUACAGUGUACUACAGCGUACCGCAGUAAACUACAGUGUACAACAGUAAACGACAGUGUACCACAGUAAACUACAGUGUACUACAGUAAACUAUAGUGUACUACAGUAAACUACAGUGUACUUUAGCUAACUACAGUGUACUACAGUAAACUACAGAGUACCUACCAGAGGCGGACAGAGUACAAGUAAAAUUACUACAGUCAGAUGUCUACUUAAGUAAAAUUACUGAAGUACUUGUUUUUAAAAGUACUUGAGUAUGAAGAGUACAAGAGUACAUUUUCUAAAUAUUGCGUAACUAAUAUUGCCACAGUGCUUACAUUUAUGUAUAGAAACGUCCUACAUGGAGUUAUGAAAAAUGUUAAUACCUUGGAGAAUGUAAAAGGAAUUGAAAGUAAAAUCAAGUCAUUUUCAUCUUUUUACCAUGUUGCUUUAUUUAACAUUUCUCACUUGCCCACAAGGCAAUAGCACAAUAGUAUACAGUAUAACAGUAUACUCAAGAACAUAAAAACAAUUGCUCAGCUUACUUAAAUAUGUAAUAUCAGAAAAGAAAAUUCAGCUAACAAUUGUAUGUAUGUGUGAGUUUCUCUGUUUUUUCAUCAAUCAAGUCAACAAUCGUCUCAUCUAAAUCUGACCAUGGAGUAGACUUUGGCGGAAAGCGAAGGUGAUUGCUGAUAGGCUGAAGGCUGUCCUAAUCAGUGGCGCCUGCACUAUCCAAUCACGCUUGAGAGGGAAACAACAAAUGUAGGGUUUCCGAGAUUUUUCUUUUCUCCUUUUAUUUUUUAAUUUUUAGAAGAAGUAACAGGUACUCACGGUUAUGGAUAGAAAUGUAGCGGAGUAAAGAGUACAAUAUUUGCCUCUCAAAUUUACUUGAGCAAAGUCAUGAGUGCUCCCCAAAAAUUAUACUCGAGUAAAGUACAGAUCCCUCAAAAUUGUACUUAAGUACUGUACUCAAAUCAAUUUGCUCCGUUACUGUCCGGCUCUGGUACCUAUAUUAAACUACAGUGUACUACAGUAAACUACAGUGUACUCCAGUGAACUACAGUGUACUACAGUGUUCUGGAGGUGAACUACAGUGUACCAGGUGAACUACAGUGUACCAGGUGGAGGUAUGGUGAACUACAGUGUACCAGGUGAACUACAGUGUACCAGGUGGAGGUAUGGUGAACUACAGUGUACGAGGUGAACUACAGUGUACCAGGUGGAGGUGUGGUGAACUACAGUGUAUCAGGUGAACUACAGUGUACCAGGUGGAGGUGUGGUGAACUACAGUGUAUCAGGUGGAGGUGUGGUGAACUACAGUGUACCAGGUGAACUACAGUGUACCAGGUGAACUACAGUGUACCAGGUGGAGGUGUGGUGAACUACAGUGUACCAGGUGGAGGUGUGGUGAACUACAGUGUACCAGGUGAACUACAGUGUACCAGGUGGAGGUAUGGUGAACUACAGUGUACCAGGUGAACUACAGUGUACCAGGUGGAGGUGUGGUGAACUACAGUGUACCAGGUGAACUGCAGUGUACCAGGUGGAGGUGUGGUGAACUACAGUGUACCAGGUGAACUGCAGUGUACCAGGUGUAGUUGUGGUGUAAUGUUGUGUUCUUGGGGAUGUUGUGUCGCUAGCAGCAGCUGAUCUGAGGACUACUGGGGGAGCACCCCCCGCUAUCUGGUGGUGGAGGCUGGGAGUCACACACACACACACACACGCACACACGCACGCACGCGCACACACGCACACACACACACACACACACACACACACACAAUCUAACUCAUAACACACGCACGCACACACACACACACACAAUAACUCAUCACACACACAUACACCCACACACACACAUACAUACAUGCUCACAUACAGAGUUUGGUAACUCCUUCAUAUAACGUGUUCUUAUGUAUACAUUUAUAUACAUUACGUAUAAAUUGAUAUACAUUUAUUGUGUAUAAAUAUUCUAUUCUAUUUAUUAGAUAUACAUUUUUUAGAUACACAUAUGUAUUAAAUAUAGAUAUUGAUUUAUCUCUCAUCUCAUCUUCAUCCGCAUCCGCUUAUCCGGGGUCGGGUCGCGAGGGGAGCAGCUCAAGCAGGGGCCCCAGACUUCCCUUUAUCUAUACUUAUUAGGAAGAAAUACUCAUAUAUUUGUAUUACAUGUACAUAUUUAUUAUCAUUAUCAUUUACUAUGUUAAUGACCUGUAUGUAUUUCUUCUCCGUUCAUAUCUCUCCUCCUAUUGGUUCUCGGGCCCUGCGAGGCAACGCCGAGUGCCUCGCGCGCUCCGCGGCCAAAGAUGUGCUGCCCUUUAAUGGCAUUUAGACGUGUGUUGCUUAGUGCUCUUCCUCCGCACACAAACACACACACGUGAUCGCGCGCGCACACACACACACUCAAACACACACACACACGCACACACACAGAUACACACGCACAGGCACGCACACCACCGCACACACACACCACCGCACACACACACACACGCUCACACACAUAGGCACACGCACACACAGGCACAUUAGGACACACACGGGCGAUGGUGCACUUCAAUACGCACGCGCACGCAAACAAGCUUCUUCACGUGUCUAUUCCGCCAAUUCUCC
ensembl:lncRNA